rnacentral:rRNA from 1 species
UACGGGGGGGGCAAGCGUUGUUCGGAAUUACUGGGCGUAAAGGGCUCGUAGGCGGCCAACUAAGUCGGAUGUGAAAUCCCCAGGCUUAACCUGGGAACUGCAUCCGAUACUGGAUGGCUUGAAUCCGGGAGAGGGAUGCAGAAUUCCAGGUGUAGCGGUGAAAUGCGUAGAUAUCUGGAGGAAUACCGGUGGCGAAGGCGGCAUCCUGGACCGGCAUUGACGCUGAUGAGCGAAAAGCUAGGGGGAGCAAACGGGG